rnacentral:rRNA from 1 species
CAAGCGUUAUCCGGAUUUAUUGGGUUUAAAGGGUGCGUAGGCGGUUUGAUAAGUUAGAGGUGAAAUCCCGGGGCUUAACUCCGGAACUGCCUCUAAUACUGUUAGACUAGAGAGUAGUUGCGGUAGGCGGAAUGUAUGGUGUAGCGGUGAAAUGCUUAGAGAUCAUACAGAACACCGAUUGCGAAGGCAGCUUACCAAACUAUAUCUGACGUUGAGGCACGAAAGCGUGGGGAGCAAACAGGAUUAGAUACCCUGGUAGUCCACGCAGUAAACGAUGAUAACUCGUUGUCGGCGAUACACAGUCGGUGACUAAGCGAAAGCGAUAAGUUAUCCACCUGGGGAGUACGUUCGCAAGAAUGAAACUCAAAGGAAUUGACGGGGGCCCGCACAAGCGGAGGAACAUGUGGUUUAAUUCGAUGAUACGCGAGGAACCUUACCCGGGCUUGAAAGUUACUGACGAUUCUGGAAACAGGAUUUCCCUUUGGGGCAGGAAACUAGGUGCUGCAUGGUUGUCGUCAGCUCGUGCCGUGAGGUGUCGGGUUAAGUCCCAUAACGAGCGCAACCCCUACCGUUAGUUGCCAUCAGGUCAAGCUGGGCACUCUGGCGGGACUGCCGGUGUAAGCCGAGAGGAAGGUGGGGAUGACGUCAAAUCAGCACGGCCCUUACGUCCGGGGCUACACACGUGUUACAAUGGUAGGUACAGAGGGUAGCUACCCAGCGAUGGGAUGCGAAUCUCGAAAGCCUAUCUCAGUUCGGAUUGGAGGCUGAAACCCGCCUCCAUGAAGUUGGAUUCGCUAGUAAUCGCGCAUCAGCCAUGGCGCGGUGAAUACGUUCCCGGGCCUUGUACACACCGCCCGUCAAGCCAUGGGAGCCGGGGGUACCUGAAGUGCGUAACCGCGAGGAGCGCCCUAGGGUAAAACUGGUGACUGGGGCUAAGUCGUAACAAGGUAGCCGUACCGGAAGGUGCGGCUG